rnacentral:rRNA from 1 species
UAGUCCACGCCUUAAACGAUGAGUGCUUAAGUGUUAGAGGGUUUCCGCCCUUUAGUGCUGCAGCAAACGCAUUAAGCACUCCGCCUGGGGAGUACGGCCGCAAGGCUGAAACUCAAAGGAAUUGACGGGGGCCCGCACAAGCGGUGGAGCAUGUGGUUUAAUUCGAAGCAACGCGAAGAACCUUACCAGGUCUUGACAUCUCCUGACAAUCCUAGAGAUAGGACGUUCCCCUUCGGGGGACAGGAUGACAGGUGGUGCAUGGUUGUCGUCAGCUCGUGUCGUGAGAUGUUGGGUUAAGUCCCGCAACGAGCGCAACCCUUGAUCUUAGUUGCCAGCAUUUAGUUGGGCACUCUAAGGUGACUGCCGGUGACAAACCGGAGGAAGGUGGGGAUGACGUCAAAUCAUCAUGCCCCUUAUGACCUGGGCUACACACGUGCUACAAUGGAUGGUACAAAGGGCAGCAAAACCGCGAGGUCGAGCCAAUCCCAUAAAACCAUUCUCAGUUCGGAUUGUAGGCUGCAACUCGCCUACAUGAAGCUGGAAUCGCUAGUAAUCGCGGAUCAGCAUGCCGCGGUAAAUACGUUCCCGGGCCUUGUACACACCGCCCGUCACACCACGAGAGUUUGUAACACCCGAAGUCGGUGGGGUAACCCUUCUGGGAGCCAGCCGCCUAAGGUGGGAUAGAUGAUUGGGGUGAAGUCGUAACAAGGUAGCCGUAUCGGAAGGUGCGGCUGGAACACCUCCUUUCU